AUUGAACGCUGGCGGCAUGCCUUACACAUGCAAGUCGAACGGUAACGCGGGGCAACCUGGCGACGAGUGGCGAACGGGUGAGUAAUGUAUCGGAACGUGCCCAGUUGUGGGGGAUAACUGCUCGAAAGAGCAGCUAAUACCGCAUACGACCUGAGGGUGAAGGCGGGGGAUCGCAAGACCUCGCGCAAUUGGAGCGGCCGAUAUCAGAUUAGGUAGUUGGUGAGGUAAAGGCUCACCAAGCCGACGAUCUGUAGCUGGUCUGAGAGGACGACCAGCCACACUGGGACUGAGACACGGCCCAGACUCCUACGGGAGGCAGCAGUGGGAAAUUUUGGACAAUGGACGCAAGUCUGAUCCAGCCAUGCCGCGUGCGGGAAGAAGGCCUUCGGGUUGUAAACCGCUUUUGUCAGGGAAGAAACGCUCUGGGUUAAUACCUCGGGGUAAUGACGGUACCUGAAGAAUAAGCACCGGCUAACUACGUGCCAGCCGCCGCGGUAACAC
rnacentral:rRNA from 1 species